UGUGACAGUGACCCAGCCCACGCCGCGGCCCUUUGCGGAAAGGAGAAAGAAAAGCAUCUGGGCGCAGAGCCAGGCCCUCACGCAUCCAUCGGGGCGGAGCUUCCGGCGCCAGGGGUGGGCUGACCCCCACCUGGUCCCCGGGGGGCGGAGCCCUGUACCUGCCUGCGGGGUGGCGCACGUGGCCAGCCCUGCUUCCUGGGCCUCUGUUCACAGGGACCAUAAUUACAAGAUCAACGGAGGCGAGAUAUCCUGAGGUGGGAAGGCCCUUCCUCUCCGGGUUGCGCGCCCGUGAAUCUUCGGGCAACAGAGCUAGGGGAGGCAGGCCUGUGUGUGGUGACAGCUUCCCCCCAGGGAUGGCAGCCGGCCUUUCACGCUUCAGGAGCCUUCAGAAGCUUCUGGGAGGAGCCCCGGGUUCAGUUUAGACAAUUACCGCUUCUCCUUUACGCAUCGAAUGGGCUCGGGCCACUCGGAUCGCAGAGGCCAGAACGUGACCCAGGUCCGGUCAGCAAUGGUCACCAGGACUGGGCCAGGGGUGGGCACCUGAGCCAGUUGGAGCCAGGAAGAGCCAGCUCUGGAACUUUGUUGGACGCCUCUGGAAAGGGAAGCUCCCUUUGUGCCGGGCUUGCUGGGGGCACCUCCCUGCCCACCCACGUGGCUCCAGACGUGUCUACAUGCCUACCAUGACCCUGACCACAUCAAAGGAGUAACCAAGGUGACCCUGGGAUAAUAGACACCGGCUUCAUGCUAUGAAGUCCAUCUGUGUGGAAAGCCCCAGAAUCUCAGAGCAUCCAGCAAGCUCCUGGGAGAGAGGGAAGAGAAGGGGAGGAGAGAGAAGGGGAUUUCCGGAUUCUUCCUGAACAUUCGUGACCACCCUGGGCAGCAGCCUGACAGAUAAGAUGGGAUCUACACGGAGAAGGAGCCGGGAGCUGGGCCUGGGCUGCCAACAUGUUGUCUGGGUGCAGCCAGGUGGCUCAGCCCGGCCCCGUCUCCAGGACUCCUGCCUGGUCUUCCCUUUGGAGCCCUGGUGACUCUGGACUCUGGCCACAGUGACGCAGGGAGCAGCCUUUGGUGGUUUUCUCGGACUCUGGACAAGUCCCCAAAGCUGUCAUCCUUCCACUGAGAUAAAGGCCCCUCCUGGCUGGCGCCCGGCUGAGGACAGGCCGUAGCUCUGGAGGACAGCCCGAGGGAGGGGUGUGAGGGAGCCUGGCUGCCCACUGCCCCUCUGUGUCCCACCUGGACCCCGCCUGUUGGGGCGCCUGUUGCCAUCUGGGCCUGGAGGCUGCUUCUCGACCCCAUGCCGACUCGAUUCCUCUCUGUGGCCCUGCCGGUGGCCAGCCGGAGCCCCGCCUGGGCCAGGGCCCCACUGACUGCACCCUUGCCACAGCUGGCCGCUACAGGAUGGUGCAGGGACACAGGGAUGGGCGUCGGGGUGGAGCUGCAGGGAGGACAGACAGCUUUGUGGGCUCCGUCAGCUGGAGUCCGUCUUGCGUCCUUUGCCUUGAGUGGUUCUCAUUUUUGCGGGUGCUCUUUG